AACGAACGCUGGCGGCAUGCCUAACACAUGCAAGUCGAACGAGACCUUCGGGUCUAGUGGCGCACGGGUGCGUAACGCGUGGGAAUCUGCCCUUUGCUUCGGAAUAACAGUUAGAAAUGACUGCUAAUACCGGAUGAUGUCUUCGGACCAAAGAUUUAUCGGCAAAGGAUGAGCCCGCGUAGGAUUAGGUAGUUGGUGGGUAAAGGCCUACCAAGCCGACGAUCCUUAGCUGGUCUGAGAGGAUGAUCAGCCACACUGGGACUGAGACACGGCCCAGACUCCUACGGGAGGCAGCAGUGGGGAAUAUUGGACAAUGGGCGCAAGCCUGAUCCAGCAAUGCCGCGUGAGUGAUGAAGGCCUUCGGUCGUAAAGCUCUUUACCAGGGAUGAUAAUGACAGUACCUGGAGAAUAAGCUCCGGCUAACUCCGUGCCAGCAGCCGCGGUAAU
rnacentral:rRNA from 1 species